AGAGUUUGAUCAUGGCUCAGAAUCAACGCUGGCGGCGUGCCUAACACAUGCAAGUCGAACGCGAAAGUCCCGCAAGGGAUGAGUAGAGUGGCAAACGGGUGAGUAACGCGUGGGUGACCUGCCUUCGAGUGGGGGAUAACGUUCCGAAAGGGACGCUAAUACCGCAUGACAUCCUGCCUUUAAAGAGGUGGAGAUCAAAGCUGGGGAUCGCAAGACCUAGCGCUUGAAGAGGGGCCCGCGUCCGAUUAGCUAGUUGGUGGGGUAACGGCCUACCAAGGCCACGAUCGGUAGCCGGCCUGAGAGGGCGGACGGCCACACUGGGACUGAGACACGGCCCAGACUCCUACGGGAGGCAGCAGUGGGGAAUUGUUCGCAAUGGGCGCAAGCCUGACGACGCAACGCCGCGUGGAGGAUGAAGACCUUCGGGUCGUAAACUCCUUUCGAUCGAGACGAAUGGCCUUCGGCUGAAUAAUCCGGAGGAAUGACGGUACCGAGAGAAGAGCCC
rnacentral:rRNA from 1 species